AUGGCUUCACGGAAGGAGCAGAAGAAGUCUUCGUCGAGGAGGCACAGGGACCGGAUCAGCGGCCUCACCGACGACGUGCUGGGCCACGUCCUCUCUUUCCUCCCCACCAAGGAGGCGGCACGCGCGGCGGCGUUGUCCCGCCGGUGGCGCCACGUCUUCGGCAGCGUCCACACCAUCUCGUUCGAGGAGACAAAGGGCGAGAGGGCCUAUGACUGGUACACCUACUACGUGCAGGCGUUGGAGAGGAAGAGCUGCAGCACCAAGCUCCUCGAUGACGUCAACGCCGCGCUCCUCUGCCACCGCCGCUGUGCUGGCCUCCCUGUGCCGCCGCGCAGCCUCCGUUUCGCCUUUGACAAAUGGCAUUGGUGGGACAAGGUCGCCGUCGACCAGUGGCUCUCCUACGUGGCGCCACGUAGGCAUGUCGGCCACCUGGCAGAACUGCACCUCGAUAUGUGCUUCUACCUAGGCCCGGUCUGUACAGCAUCUGACAGCGACAGUGACGGCACCGAUGAUGAUGAUGAUGAUGAUAGCGGCGGAGCAGGCAGUGACUCGGACGAAGAAACUAAGUGGAGUUGCCGGUUCAAGCUCGGACGGACGACCUUGACCAUUGACCUGCCGGUCCUCGAGACGAUGCGCCUCACGGCCCUUGGGGACUCCGGGGAAAGCAUCCAGUGUCUGAUCUCGAGCUGCCCCCGCCUCGCCGACCUGACGCUGGAAGCAUUGUGGAACCUCAAAAGGAUCUCCGUGCUCGACAAACGCCUCCGCCGGUUCUCCAUCCGCUGCUGCCACGACCUGAAGUCCGCUAUAAUCGACGCGGCGGAGCUGAAGUUGUUGGACUACCGUGGCAUGGUGCCUGCGGGGUCGCUCUUGUCUCUGCACCGCUUGCCGGCGAUCAUUCCUUCAUGCACCAUCGAUUUCUGCAGGCCUCUCUCCAAGGAGGCUCAGUUCGUCAGGUUUAGAGAUUUCCUCGACAAAAUCCAAGGCGUGGCUCACCUGCGUCUCCACCACCAGAGCUUGGAGAGCAAGUUCUUCGGGGUCGCGGGGUUCCCGCUCUUCUCCAGCCUGACGAGGCUCACGUUGCAAGGCUGUAUCCAGACUCACCACAGCGUUGACGCGUUGCGCAUGGUCUUGGAGCAGACCCCGAACCUGGAGGUUCUCACGCUGCUGAUGGAGAGGUCAAAAGAGGAGUACGGUGACAUCAACGUCCCCGCGUCGAUCUUGUCGAUUCCAUGCUUGCGGCAUCGGGUGCGCGAGAUCGCCAUGGAAAAUUACGAGGGCCUCAAGCCAGAGAAGAGCUUGGCCAAGCUCUUGCUUCAGAAUGCGCUUGUUCUUGAAAGAUUGCACGUAGUGUUCGCCAAGGAAAUCAAGCCUGAGCGAAAGAAUAUACUGGAGGCAGAGAUCGGAAAAUGGGGAGUGGCAAAUUCAGAAGAUAUCUUCGUAUAG
rnacentral:rRNA from 1 species